rnacentral:lncRNA from 1 species
GCUGCUGCUGCUGCUGCUGCUGCUGAUGCUGAUGCUGAUGCUGCUGAUGAGUUUGACAGUCAGACACGGAGCCAAAUGUUGCUGCUCUGCACCGUCUCCUUUGUUCAGCCCUGCAUGCUGUUUGCCGGCUGUUGUUUGUCAUCCACCUGAUGUAGGUGUCAGACUUUUUUUUUCUUUUUCUCUGAAGACUUAAGAAGGACCAAUUUAGGCGAAGCGAACACUAGAAGCUGACGUGGGCAGGUUCGGAUCAAAGCGGCACACAUCUGCCGGCUCGCGCCUCGCCCGGCUCGUUUGCGACAAAUUACACCUGUCAGUAGUGACUUUGACUGAGGCUGGAGUGCGUUCACAGAUGAGCUGCAGCUUUGUUGCUCUAUUUCAGGGAUUUGUUGAGGGUGUGAAAAACAGCUCCAAGGUCGUCUUUGAGGCCGUCUUCAAAAAGUGCAGACAAAUGCCCUCGCUCAUCAAGAAAUGGCGUCCCUUCAAAAUUAAAAAGCAAAAGUUGCUCAAGUGUUCUUCAACAAAGUUUGGAAGGUAAAAUAGGAGCAAAUGUUGGGAAGACAAGCCAGAAAUGAUGUGCAAGUGCAUCCAUCCCCAGCUAAACCAGUCUGGUGGAAGGAUUGAUUGUGGAAGUGAAAUGGUUUGUGUGUUUUCUUUCACUUCACUGGCUGCCUGUGAGUUCCUUUCAGGAUUCUUUUAUUUGUUUCUAAAUCUUUAAACCGCAGCACCGUACCUCUCUGAGCUUCUGCUUCCUUACAGCCCGACCUGAUGCCUCGGGUCAGCGGAUCGGAUUCUCCUGAAGGUACCAACGGUGCUCAGAGAGGAGCGAGGAUUCUCAAUCUGUGCACCGGAGCCAUGGAACGCUUCCCACUGAGCAUUCAGCUAUCCUCUCUGUCCAUUUAAAAAACAUUUCAAAACCCAUAUUUAUAGUCAGGCUUGUGACACAAAAGGAGACUCUGCUCUGCUGAGUGUUUCUUACUGUUUUUAUCUUGUGUUCUUAUAAUAUUAUGAUGCCUUUUUGUUGUUGUUUUAAUGGUUUUGAGCUCUAAAGUACGGCGCCUUGUUUGCCUGUGGUCAUUUUAAGGCGCUAUAUACAUAAAUAAAUAAACUUGAGUGGUGUCUUUGGCGCUGGCUGUGUAGGUCUGUGGUUUUUGCAUGUGUUUGUCACUUUUCUUCCUUAAAAAAAGGCAACUUCAUUUAUGUGAAUAAU